rnacentral:tRNA from 1 species
GGGGCUGUAGCUCAAUUGGUAGAGCGCUUCGAUGGCAUCGAAGAGGUAGCGCGUUCGAUCCGCGUCAGCUCCA